ACUAUAGACUAUAUGUGUAUUGAAUUAACAGGGUUGUGAUUUAAGACAUGAAAAUUAUAUAAGUAUUCCAAAUAUACAUAUCAUUGACAGUUAUGCAAUUAUAGUUUAAUUUGUAAUAUAUCACUUAUCAAAAAUAAUGUGUAUGGUUGUGAUUAAAAUUGUGUGUUGUUGUAUCCAUAACUUGUUACAGCUUAGUAUUAUAUAUGAAAUUAAAUUAUGGAAAUCG
rnacentral:misc_RNA from 1 species